rnacentral:tRNA from 1 species
AGCGGCGUGGAGGAAUAGGGUAGCUCGUCGGGCUCAUAACCCGAAGGUCGCAGGUUCAAAUCCUGCCCCCGCAACCA